rnacentral:rRNA from 1 species
GUCCAGACUCCUACGGGAGGCAGCAGUGGGGGAUAUUGCACAAUGGGGGAAACCCUGAUGCAGCGACGCCGCGUGUGGGAAGACGGUCUUCUGGAUUGUAAACCACUGUCCCCAGGGACGAAAAUGACGGUACCUGGGGAGGAAGCUCCGGCUAACUACGUGCCAGCAGCCGCGGUAAUACGUAGGUGGCAAGCGUUGUCCGGAUUUACUGGGUGUAAAGGGCGUGUAGCCGGGCCGGCAAGUCAGAUGUGAAAUCCCAAGGCUCAACCUUGGAACUGCAUUUGAAACUGUUGGUCUUGAGUAUCGGAGAGGCAGGCGGAAUUCCUAGUGUAGCGGUGAAAUGCGUAGAUAUUAGGAGGAACACCAGUGGCGAAGGCGGCCUGCUGGACGACAACUGACGGUGAGGCGCGAAAGCGUGGGGAGCAAACAGGAUUAGAUACCCUAGUACA